AGAGUAUUGAAAGGAUCUUUCCCUAAUAUGAGAGGAUCGGGAAAGAUGCACCUCUAAUGUACCAAUUAUCAUGCCCACGGUAUACGCUGAGUAGCUAAGUGCAGAACGAAUAACUGCUUAAAGCAUCUAAAUAGUAAGCCCACCUUAAAAUGAGUGCUCU
rnacentral:ncRNA from 1 species